UACGAAGGGUGCAAGCGUUACUCGGAAUUAUUGGGCGUAAAGGGCGCGUAGGCGGCCCGCUAAGUCGAACGUGAAAUCCCCGAGCUCAACUCGGGAACUGCGUCCGAUACUGGCGGGCUUGAAUCCGGGAGAGGGAUGCGGAAUUCCAGGUGUAGCGGUGAAAUGCGUAGAUAUCUGGAGGAACACCGGUGGCGAAGGCGGCAUCCUGGACCGGCAUUGACGCUGAGGCGCGAAAGCUAGGGGAGCAAACGGG
rnacentral:rRNA from 1 species